GUAGUCCACGCCGUAAACGAUGAUCACUCGUUGUUGGCAAUACACCGUCAGCGACUGAGCGAAAGCAUUAAGUGGAUCCACCUGGGGAGUACGAUCGCAAGAUUGAAACUCAAAGGAAUUGACGGGGGCCCGCACAAGCGGAGGAACAUGUGGUUUAAUUCGAUGAUACGCGAGGAACCUUACCUGGGCUUAAAUGUAGAGCGACGGACCGGGAAACUGGUCUUUCUUCGGACGAUCUACAAGGUGCUGCAUGGCUGUCGUCAGCUCGUGCCGUGAGGUGUCGGGUUAAGUCCCAUAACGAGCGCAACCCUCAUCAUUAGUUGCCAGCGGGUAAUGCCGGGGACUCUAAUGAAACUGCCGGUGUAAACCGAGAGGAAGGUGGGGAUGACGUCAAGUCAGCACGGCCCUUAUGUCCAGGGCUACACACGUGUUACAAUGGUCAGUACAAAGGGCAGCUACCAUGCGAAUGGAUGCUAAUCUCGAAAACUGGUCUCAGUUCGGAUCGGAGUCUGCAACUCGACUUCGUGAAGUUGGAUUCGCUAGUAAUCGCGCAUCAGCCACGGCGCGGUGAAUACGUUCCCGGGCAUUGUACACACCGCCCGUCAAGCCAUGGAAGCACGGGGGUACACUGAAGUUCGUAACCGCAAGGAGCGAC
rnacentral:rRNA from 1 species